GGGUUCCGGCCAGGACAAAAGGAAGUCAUUACCAACAGCCAAAUUGUCAGAUUUGUUGAUUUUACGGGGUCAGCGAGACACUAGUCAUCUAUAGCCUAUCAGGGCAACGGAGGUAGUGGACUCCCUCAAAAUCACAUCGUGGAACAGCUAGAAGGAACAUGCCCCAGCCAGAGCAGCCCUUCUCCCACCUUUCUCGGCGUCACCUCCGGAUGCUCACCUCUGCCCGCCGCUCCAUGACGACCGCUCCUCCCGCCCGCCGGCCCGGGCCGAGCGCGGGAGCCCGCCAGAGGCUCCGGGCUUCCCGAGGCCAGCAGCGAGGCCCCGCGCUGCUCUCCUCGGACUUGGAAGGGCCGCUGUGUGCUCAGCCCGCCGCACUUCCGGCCGACCACGCUCACGACACACAAGCACCUGGCCACCAGCCACCAGGUAUCUAAACGCAGCUGGGGCCGAGCCGCGCGGACUGGCCACUGGCUAGCUGAACUACAAGUCCCAGAAUCCUCCGCAGGGAGCCUUUUCCCCAAACGCCCCUUCCCAGAGGACCUCGCGGCGCAGGGUCCGCACCAGGCUGGUUUCCCGGAUACCUAGAGAGCUCUCUAGGAUGAUGCUCCUGGCUCUGAAAAGACCAAGCAUCCCUGGGUGCUUACGUGGGGUGCUGUGCACUCCAAGCCCGGUUUGCAUGAGACGUUCGUUCCAGAGACCUUGGCUCCUACGGCCCCACUCCUCACCCACGCAGUCUUCCCACAUUUUGCUCUCGAUGGGCCAAAGCCUGCAUGCUUCUCCCACCUUCAUUACUUCCCUCUACUACUAGCUGCAGGGAGCGGCGCCUGCAGUGAAGAUACAGCCCAGGCAGCUCCAAUAGAAGCUGGAAGGCCUCUACUCUUCCACAAUAGGAGAUAAGAGCUGGAAGUUACCUUCCUUCCAAAGAUGGUAUGUUUGAAGGGCGUUCCAGCCGACCUGUCUGGGCUACCAGAGAAUGACUACCAUCUGUCACAGAAAACUUUGCUUACCGUUGUUACUUCUCAGUCCGCAUCUCCUUUUCAACAGCUGAGAGAAUCUGCAUUUCUAAGGAGUUUCCUGGAGUCACUGAAGCUGCACAUCUGGGAACCAACUAAGUGUAGGGAAACCGCGGAACUCAGCCCUUGGGUCUCUCCCUAUCCACAGGUCGGUGAUCAUGCUCACUCUAGAUGUUCAACAUCAUCCAAAUAUGGUCAACCUCUAGUUAAUAUUUGUAGCCUAGGUUGCUUCUGUGACCUUGAGACCUUGAGCUCCACUUCUUGAUGUUUAAUAAAAGUGUCUUAAGUA